rnacentral:rRNA from 1 species
AGGUAGCAUAAUCAUUUGCCUUUUAAUUGGAGGCUUGUAUGAAUGGUUUGACGAGAGCUAAGCUGUCUCCUCUUAAAUAUAAAAAAAUUAAUUUUUAGGUGAAAAAGCCUAAAUUCAAUUGAGGGACAAGAAGACCCCUUUGAGCUUUAGUGAUCUAACAAAUUUUUAUAGCUGUCGAAAAGACAGCAGCGUAACAUUAAUGAAAACAUCAUUUGUUAAAAAUCUUUAGUUGGGGCGACUAAGGAACAUGAAAAGCUUCCUUUAAAUCUCUACUUAUGAGAAGUCAAUCUUAUACAAAGAUCCAGUACUUACUGAUCAGAGAAAAAAGUUACCACGGGGAUAACAGCGUAAUUCUUCUAGAGAGCUCAUAUCGAAGGAAGAGUUUGCGACCUCGAUG